rnacentral:rRNA from 1 species
GUACACUCCUGCGGGAGGCAGCAGUGGGGAAUUUUGGACAAUGGGCGCAAGCCUGAUCCAGCCAUGCCGCGUGCGGGAAGAAGGCCUUCGGGUUGUAAACCGCUUUUGUCAGGGAAGAAAAGGUUCUGGCUAAUACCUGGGACUCAUGACGGUACCUGAAGAAUAAGCACCGGCUAACUACGUGCCAGCAGCCGCGGUAAUACGUAGGGUGCAAGCGUUAAUCGGAAUUACUGGGCGUAAAGCGUGCGCAGGCGGUUAUGCAAGACAGAGGUGAAAUCCCCGGGCUCAACCUGGGAACUGCCUUUGUGACUGCAUGGCUAGAGUACGGUAGAGGGGGAUGGAAUUCCGCGUGUAGCAGUGAAAUGCGUAGAUAUGCGGAGGAACACCGAUGGCGAAGGCAAUCCCCUGGACCUGUACUGACGCUCAUGCACGAAAGCGUGGGGAGCAAACAGGAUUAGAUACCCUAGUAGUCCCAUGA